rnacentral:rRNA from 1 species
UACGUAGGGAGCAAGCGUUGUCCGGAAUCAUUGGGCGUAAAGCGCGCGUAGGUGGUCUCGUAAGUCCGCUGUGAAAGUCAAAGGCUCAACCUUUGAAAGCCGGUGGAUACUGUGGGACUAGAGUACGGAAGAGGCGAGUGGAAUUCCUGGUGUAGCGGUGGAAUGCGCAGAUAUCAGGAGGAACACCAAUAGCGAAGGCAGCUCGCUGGGACGUUACUGACACUGAGGCGCGAAAGCGUGGGGAGCGAACAGG